UACGCGAGCUGGGUUUAGAACGUCGUGAGACAGUUCGGUCCCUAUCUGCCGUGGGCGCUGGAGAACUGAGGGGGGCUGCUCCUAGUACGAGAGGACCGGAGUGGACGCAUCACUGGUGUUCGGGUUGUCAUGCCAAUGGCACUGCCCGGUAGCUAAAUGCGGAAGAGAUAAGUGCUGAAAGCAUCUAAGCACGAAACUUGCCCCGAGAUGAGUUCUCCCUGAGACUUAAAGUCUCCUGAAGGAACGUUGAAGACGACGACGUUGAUAGGCCGGGUGUGUAAGCGCAGCGAUGCGUUGAGCUAACCGGUACUAAUGAACCGUGAGGCUUAACCUUACAACGCCGAAG
rnacentral:rRNA from 1 species